UACGUAGGGCGCAAGCGUUGUCCGGAAUUAUUGGGCGUAAAGAGCUCGUAGGCGGUUUGUCGCGUCUGUCGUGAAAGCUUGGGGCUUAACCCCAAGUCUGCGGUGGAUAAGGGCAGACUAGAGGCAGGUAGGGGAGAACGGAAUUCCCGGUGUAGCGGUGAAAUGCGCAGAUAUCGGGAGGAACACCGGUGGCGAAGGCGGUUCUCUGGGCCUGUACUGACGCUGAGGAGCGAAAGCGUGGGGAGCGAACAGG
rnacentral:rRNA from 1 species